rnacentral:lncRNA from 1 species
GAUGUGGAGUGAUUGAUUAUAACCCUAUUUGAUUUUGAUGAGCUCAAAGCAUUUGAGUAUAUCUUAUGUUUACUAAUGAAUUCAAUCUAGUGUUUCAGUGAAAAUCUUGUAAAUUUGUGGUUAAGUGUCUCUAGAUUUGGUUCAAGACAUUUUGGAUAAGUUAAGAAGUCAACUUGAACCAAAGUCUGAGACUCGAGUCGACUCCGGGAUAUUACGAGUCGACUCCAAG